UUAUGGACUAGAUAAAUUUAUGUA
rnacentral:piRNA from 1 species